UACGAAGGGUGCAAGCGUUACUCGGAAUUACUGGGCGUAAAGCGUGCGUAGGUGGUUGGUUAAGUCUGGUGUGAAAGCCCUGGGCUCAACCUGGGAAUUGCAGUGGAUACUGGGAGACUAGAGUGUGGUAGAGGGUAGUGGAAUUCCCGGUGUAGCAGUGAAAUGCGUAGAGAUCGGGAGGAACAUCCAUGGCGAAGGCAGCUACCUGGACCAACACUGACACUGAGGCACGAAAGCGUGGGGAGCAAACAGG
rnacentral:rRNA from 1 species